UACGAAGGGGGCUAGCGUUGCUCGGAAUCACUGGGCGUAAAGCGCACGUAGGCGGCUUUUUUAAGUCAGGGGUGAAAUCCUGGAGCUCAACUCCAGAACUGCCUUUGAUACUGGGAAGCUUGAGUCCGGGAGAGGUGAGUGGAACUCCGAGUGUAGAGGUGAAAUUCGUAGAUAUUCGGAAGAACACCAGUGGCGAAGGCGGCUCACUGGCCCGGUACUGACGCUGAGGUGCGAAAGCGUGGGGAGCAAACAGG
rnacentral:rRNA from 1 species